rnacentral:piRNA from 1 species
ACUUUGUUGUAUGUAUGUGCUGU